GGGCCAUGCGCGUAUCGGUUUUUUUGAAAAAAAAAAACGAAAGGGUUAGGGAGGCGUGGAAACUCGUAAAAUCCCAGUCUCCGAUUUUAUCAGUUUAUCACUACGGUCAUAUUAAUAGUGAUGGAGAACGACU
ensembl:ncRNA F09A5.12 ncRNA